rnacentral:lncRNA from 1 species
AAAUGUUUGCCUUGUUCCUCAUCUUGUGGAAUCAUCGGUGGCUAUUUUCCACAGCGGCACGGAGCUGCCCGGCUUCUUAGAGUCAGCGCUGUCCCCCGCGGUCUGGGUGUGUCCCAGCAGUGUGGGGCAGGAGCACAUGUCAGGCUGCGGGAGGUGUGCAGUGCUGGUGGGCAGCACAGGAGGAGCAGCCAAAUGCCCGCGCUGCAUCAGGGCAGCUGUGUGUGUUGUUGAU